rnacentral:lncRNA from 1 species
UUUUUUUUUUUUUUUAAAAUAUCAUGCCUGUUGAGGUUCUCUUGGGUCUCCUUCCUUGGGAGCCUUUCUCUCAUAUUUAUAAAGCAUGUCUGUGAUGUGUUAGGGGUAUAUUUUCUCAAUUACGUCCCUCUUUAGGUUCGAUAUAUAUCCUUAAAUAUAUUUCUUAGGUAGAAUGCGCUUUAAUCUCGUCGCCUCAUGAGGUGGUGUGGACUGAUGGGAUCAACUCGUGUGAGGACCACCUCACGAGGUGUCGAUAGUUGUGUGACACUUACACAUGAACUCCCUCGUACUUAUUUGAUGAGGUGGUCUCGUGAGGUGAUGAGAUGAGCAACAUUUUGCAAGAACCUCAUGAAGUGAUGAGGUGCGUGACAUUGGUGACCUUGCGAAGUGGCGAGAUGCGGAAUAUGGCCUCGCAAAAUGGAUCGGGCUUCAUGUACUAAGAACAAUUAAAUUUUGGAUUGUAAAGUAUUUUAUAAUAAUGUCUAAAUUAUUUAUAACUCUUAAAAAGCUUAAAAUUGAAGAAAAUAUACUUUUAAAUGCAUUUCUAAUACUGUUUAUUCGUGCACUUUUUCUAAAGAAUUAUUAUUUUUCGUAAUAUACAUUAAUUCAUUAUUGAUAUUAUAUAUCACGUUUUCUUUAAAUACAACAAUCAUGCUGUAAUAUUUUAUAGUGCAUAUGGGCCAAAAAAAAAUGAUGUAAAAAUUAUUUAAUUGAAUUAAUGUUAGAUUGAUUAGUUACAUCAAAUUUAAUAAAAAAUUAAAUUAAAUUUUAGUAUAGAUAUACAAGUGAAGAAAAGUUUAAUUUUUGCUUGUAGAUACAAGUUCAAAUAUUUGAUUAGUUGCAACUUUACCAAGUAACAAGUGAAAGAAAGUAAAAGCUCAUACAAAAAAAACUUAGGUUAUUUAAAUUAGUUUUUUUAUAUAUAUGCAAGUCCUUAUCUAGAGAGUUAACCUAUUAUUUUUCAGUAAGCACAAGUAAUGAUUUAAGUCCUAUACAUUCACCAUGCAAUAUCUUCACCUUCAUACGUAAAUUUGGAUCAUUCUCUACUAAGAUUUUCUCCUCACUCGUGUUUAUUUACAAAAUGUGAACACUUGCAAUACAGGUUCAAACCCAAUUCUUAACCUGUUAACCCCUUCCUUUAAACAUCAGGCUACACAAAUGCUUAAGCUAUUUUGUGUCAAAAAAUCUAUAAACCCAUCCUAUAGCAGUAAAAGGAAAACUAGAGAAAUUUGUCGGUAGAAGAAAUUGAACGUAUAACCUUGGCUAAUCACCAACUACUCUGACCACUUCAAGACAUUUUAUCCUUAUGUGCCAAGAAAUUUAUAGACACAUGUUUAUUCGAAUAUGAUCAAAAAAAUUUUCUCGAGGAUUGAAUAUCAUAUUUAUUUACUGAUGUUUUAGAUAUAAGAUGCAGAGAUUUGUAGACAGUUUUUAUUUAUUUAUUUUAUAUUUAGAUUUAUUUUAAUUUUAUUUCAUAAUUAAUUAUAAUUAAUUCGAUUAUUUUAUUUUAUUUUUAUCUUUUUGAGUAUGAUGAAAAAUUUGAUCUCAACAUUAAUUUUAACCCUUGAUUUUGAAUUUAUCAAAAAAUUUUAUAUUGGUAAGGAGUUUUAACUUUUUUUCUAAUUAAGAUGAUUAUUAUUUAUUUUAAAUCUGAUCUAAUUAUUAAGUUAAAUUAUUGAAUACUAAUGGGUUUAUAAGGUUUAUUAAUAAACUUUUGUAAUAUAUUAUUUUCAAAUGAUUUUCUAAUAUUUUCAAAUAUUUGAAAAAAUUGUUGUACGGUAAUAUAUUUUUUAAUAUUUUAAAAGCAUGGGCCUUGAUAGAAAUAUAUUAAUAUAAUAUUAUUUUAUAUUUGAGUACAUAUGUUAUUUUUUCUUUGAGUUAUUUCAAAAAUUUGUUGAUUGUUUAAAUAUAUAUUGACUGUCGACUAUAACAUUUUGUGAUAUUGAUUCUUUUUAAAUAAAGAAUAUAUUGUGAUAUUUAAAAGUCCACCCUAUUAUCUCUUUUGCGUUCCUCAAGAUAACUCUUCAAAUGAUAGAUAUAACUUAUGCUAUUAAUGUGAUAUGAAAGAUCAUCAAUCACGUAUCUAUCAUACGUUCGAAUAUUUUAUUCAACUAUGUUAAUAUUUGGUACUAAAACAAACCGAUAUUAUUGCAAUAUUCGAUAGUGCAAAAUUAGUUGAAAGCUCCAGAAGAGCUAAUAUAUCAAUAUAUAAAUGAACAAAAAUUGUAAUGGUUAAUGUAUUAGCUUUAAAAGAUAUUCUUUGUAAAAGAUUUCAUAAUGAGAAUGUGAAUGGAGAAAAUAUUAUAUUUUGUAUGAAUCACUCUUGCUAUAAAUAUCUAUUCACUUUUUUUUUUAUAGAGAAAGAUUCAGUUGUUGAAUUGUAUUAUGCAUGAUACUUGAUACCUAUCUUUAUUUUGAAAAGAAUAGAGAAAGAUUUGAUUGUGAAAGAUCUACUUAAUUUAAGAGAAAUAUAUGACCAUUGAAAUGUGCACCUGAAGUUGUAAGAUCUCCUAUCUAAAGCUUCUUAUGAUUGAAUGGACUUGAAGUUGCAAGACUUUAAAAUUGUGAGUUAGUAUAAUAACUCUACAAUGUUUAAGAUAAGUUCUCAAUUAAAAUUAUGUAGGAGAAUAAAGAAAAUUUUUUCAACUUUUCAUACUUCAAAUGUGCUAUUAAAUAACAAGCUAAAAUGAAAAAGAAAAAUCCCAUAAAGUCCGUUCUAUUAGAUUUGCCCCAUUCUCUGAAGAGAUUGUAGCAAUAUAUAAAUACGUAACUCUGAAGAGAACGUAGCAAUAUAUAAAUACGUAAUCUUUAAUGUAGAUGUAGUAAGUGACUAUAUAACAAUCGUACAAGAGAUUAUCAUAUUAAUUCUUUUCACCAUCAAAAGUGAAAAAAAUGAAGAUAAAUAAGACAAGAACAAGAAUUCUUAAGAGAACCCUUUAAGGGGUGAAGAUAACUCAUGUUAUCGAUGUGUUUUUAAAGGCCUUGGUUGCGUACCUAUCGUAUGCCUAAACAUUAAAUAUGAAUUGCAUCAUUUUUAUGGGAUGUGACGCUAAUUAAUUAAUUAAUAGAUUUCUUACUAAUAAUAGUUCUUCUUACCACUAGCUAGAAUUGAAGAUACAGAGAUAAAUAAUAGAACAACAAGAGCUCUCAAUAUAACUCUUCAAAUACGAGAGACAACUUAUGAAAAUUAGUUGGUUCUAUACUUGUUGUAUACAUGAACAUCUUAUUAUUCAAUUAAUAUUCCUUAAAAAGAAUGAAACAUUAGUCCAGUAGACAAUACAACAAUGCAUAUUAUCUUUUGGAAUAAAAUACAUUUUUCUUGUUGGUAAUGAAACAAACCAAUCUUGGUGCUACAAAAUUAAUUUAGCCUUUAUAAGAGCUAAUAUACUGUUAACCUAUGUUCAACGUGGUUGUUACAACCAAUUUCGGCCUGGCCAACAAAAUAUAACAAAACCCAAAACAAUAAAAAAGAGUCCAAAAUAAAUAGCCCAUUUACAAUAUUAAAUAGCCCAAUUUACAUCAAACCCUAGCCCAAAUAAUAGCCAACUUGCUUAAGAUUUUUCAGCAGCAAACCCUUCCCCAAGAUGCAGCAGCCGCUCAGCCCCCACGUGCGCCGCCUCGCUUUCUCACCAGCCAACCACCGGCUUUUCACACCUCUGACACCUGCAAUCAAAUCCAACACAACAACAGAGAGCAUGCAGAAGAAAUAAAUAGCUAAAGAACAAAAAACAUGGAACGAACGGUUUGUAAAUUGGCUUUUAAAAGCCAAAAUCUAUCAUUUGUAAUCGGUUACGAACACUGGAAAUAAAAAAAAAAACACAAAAGGUUGAUAUCUGAUUCUUCUCUCUUUAUUUUCAUUUCGUUUCUUUUUAUUUCUCUAAUAUUUCUUUUGAUUUUAAUACAAAUCUAUUAAAUAAAAGUAGACAUAAAACAAAAAUAAUGAGGGAAGAAGGCCUUACCGGAAUCGCUCGUCGUCUCGUCGCCGGAGGGUUUUCCUUCGUCGUCGGGAUCGGGCCGAAUAAGGAGGGGAAGACUUUUUCUUUCGCAACUUUUGGGCUGAGAAGGCUCAGCCUUCGGGGACGCCUUGAAACAGGGCUUAAAGCCCGCCCUCGCGCGUCGUCGGCCGUCGUGUUCAAUGGCGGUGCGGCAGUGGGACGAUGCCUUUCUUGGUCGGCCAAACAAAAGGCUACAAGGAAGGAGAGAAAGGCUGCUUUUUUUUUUUCUUCUUUUUUAAAAACCUAAGGCUAAAAUGAAACAAGCACAAAAUUUGGCCUUUUAUCAGGCUACAAAAUGGUACCGUUUAGAAAGGGGAGGGGUCCGCAUGUCUCCCUUGAAUGGGAAAUUGCCCACUUUGGCCCCUCCCCCUUUUCUGACCCUUGAUUUGAUCAUGAUUUGCGUUUUUUUUAUCCUUUCAAAUAGCGCCCAAUUAUUUUAUUUCAUUGCUAAUUUGGUCCCUGACCUAGACAAAUUAAACGUUGCGCAUAAGGGGUUGGGGAAAAUUUCCCAACCAAUCCCUUGAGGUUUCGGCACGUUUUAAAUAAAUCUAUUACCCUUCUUUUCCUUUCUGAAUUCUCCCUUUAAUUUUAUUUAGAUUUUAAUUUAGUCUUUUUAAUAUUCACAUUUAUUUUAUUCGAAUUUGGACCCUUAAUUUUCAUUUUCAUUUGUAAUUUCACCCUUUUUUUCAUAUCAAUCUAGACCUUUCUUUUAUUUAUUUAUCUUAAACUAUUUUCAUUUACCUUAAACUUGAUAUAUUAUACUGUUUUAAAUUGUCUUAGAUAUAUAUUAUUUCAAAUUAUUUCAUAUACUUUAAAUUGCUUUAUCCAUUAUUUAUUUUAAAUCCGUUAAAUGUAUUAUUCAUCCUAAAUUGUUUUAUUAUGUAUUCUAAAAUUUUCCUUUUUUCUCUAUUAUUACUUCCAAAUUUCUAUAUGUGUUAUCCAUUUUUAUAUAUACCCUUUUUAAAUGUUUUGUAUGUUACUUAUUUUAAAUUUCUAUCUACAUAAUAUUCAUUUUUGACUUAUUUUUAUUAUUCAUCAUAAACUAUCUUAUAUAUUAUCUAUUUUAUACUGUUUUGGUUUUACAUAUCAUUUUGAAUUAUUAUACACAUGUUAAUCGUUUUACAUUGCUUUUCAUUUAUUUAUUUUAGACCUUUUUAUAUAUAAUUUUUGAAUUACUUAUUAUUUUAAAUUUAUAUAAUGUUUAUUCUUAAACUGCCUUUUUGUAUAGGGCAUUUAUUUUCAAACUUUCAUAUGUUUUAAUCUUAAACUCUUUGUACAUUGUUUAUUUUUUUAUGCAUGUAUUUAUGAUAAGUUUUUAUACUAUGUAUAUUAUUUAUUUUGAACUUCUUUUUAUGUAUUAUGAUUUUAAACUUUUCAUUAAUGAUUUUAGAUUUUUUUUACCUACUUUAAGCUGCCUUUAUAGUAUUUAUUUUAAAAUCCUUUAUGUAUAUAUAUAUUUUAUAUUUAAGAUUAUCUAUUUGUUUGAUUUAAAUCAUUUUAUAUUAUUACCUCAUUUCUGUGUUUAUUAAGCUUGUUAUUUAAUUGACAUGUGUUAAGUUAUUGCCAUUGUGUGUGUUAUAAUUCGUUUAUUCAUAUUUCCACUAUUUUCAUUUGCUCGCGUAAUACUUUAUUCAUGUAUCAUCACUCUAUGUCGCAUCAUAUUUUUAUUUUUCAUUAUCGCCUUAUGAAUUAAAUUUCGCUACAUUUAUCCAAUAAAUCGCUUAGUUUUAACCUAAACAAAUGACGUACAUCGUUUAAAUACUACCUUUGCUACUAUUCAAAAACUAGAAUUUCAAAGUAAGGCAAUGUUUCGCAUUUUGGAACAUCCGGGAAUUGUGCCCUAACUUACGGGGUUUCAAUUUUCUCAUUGUUUCUAAAUGGCAAAUAUCCUUUUCAAGUUUUAAAACACAUGAAUUUCCAAUUAAAAGUAAAGACGACCUUGUGCUCGGGAGUUCAUGGUAUUGUGUCCUAACUUACGGGAUGUGAUACUCCGAUAUCUUGAGAUAAGGAAAUCUUUAAACAAUUGAUUUAAGCUAAUUCAAGAAUUUUAAAAUCAAUAUUAAUAGAAAAGAUCGCAUUUCAAAUUCAUUUUCGAUUUUCGACAUUAAGACACUAACUAAUCAAUUCGGUACCAAUUUUUGGGCGUGUCGGGGGCGCUAAUCCUUCCUCACACGUAACCGACUCCCGAACUUGUUCUCUUGAAAUUCGUAGACCAAAAUGCCGUUUUAGUAAAAUAAAAUUGUUUUAUUAGAACAAAGGUGAUCUGAUCACACCAAAUAAAGAUCGGUGGCGACUCCCGUUUUAAUUUUCGUUUUCAAACUAAGUCGAUUCCCGUUUUCAAAAAUGGUUUCGAUAGUGGUAAUGAAACAUGUUAAUUUUUCGUAGUACAAAGUUAAUUCAAGGCUCCAGAAGAGUUAAUGCAUUGUUAUCUAAAGAAACAAAGUGAUAACUAAUAUAUCAUGUUCUAGCCAGUCUCAAAGAAAUUAUGUUUUAAAAGGAUAUACGUUGUAACAUAUACCAUAUUGAGAUUAUGAGUGAGGAAACAAUUGAUUUCUAUAUAUUACAUCUAUUAUAUUGGGUAAGAAUUUUGUAUUGGAAAAUUACUUUCUUUCCUCUAGUUUAUGUUAGACAUAUAUUAGUAUGGUUAAAUCACAUGAGAUGGUAAACCAAAAGUUACUAGAAGUUUACAUUAGUAUUGUUGAAUUACGUGCAUAGUAAACCAAAAGUUUACUAGUCCAAAUACGUUAAUUAGUUGACAUGAUCGGUUAGACCAUCGUGAUUAAUAAUGAUGUGAAAAAAUGAGAAUUUACAUAAAAAUUUAUUAAAGAACCUGAAGAUUCUUUAUUUUAAAGAUUUUUUAAGUGUUUAUUAGAACCUCACUAACAAAAGUUGAUAUUGAAUCUUUAGUGUUUUUGAAAGAAAUAAAAGCCCAUUUUUCCAACAAGUGAAUGUUUUGAUAUAAUUUUAGAUGCACUUACAAGUUAAUCACAUGUGAGUUAUCAACUCGUAACCUGUAAUUUGCGAAAUUACUUGUUUAAUGAUUUGUUUACGAAAAAACUUUUAGAUUACGCAAUCGAGACAAUUCUUACUAAUGUUGGUAAUUUUAUUACACAGGCUUUCAAUUAUUAUCAUAUGUUAGCUUAUUAGUGUGAGUAACUAUUGCAAAAUGUUAUUGUUUAUACAUAUGAAAUGGUUUAGCAAAAUUAAUGAUUAAAUGCCUCCGAUUAAUAGCUAAACCAUUACUUUUGAAAACGAAACUCUUUGUAUAUAUGUAUAAGGAUAUGAUAUUUUACAUGAAUCGGUACUUGUACGUAUAAUGCCAAUAAGUUAUGAUAAAUAUUUCCAAUAUAAUUAACUUUAGGUCAGGAGCUAAAUAUAACCCAUUAAAUUUUGUUGUGUAUGAUGUAUGUUCAAGUUGUUUCGCCGCAAGGCACAAAAUGAUAUUUAAAGAAAGUUGGGAAUAUAUAUUAAUUAUGAAUCUCCUUAUAUUAUUAGAUGUUUUGAUCAAAUUGAAGAUUCAAUUAUGAUAUGACUUGGUGAUUAUUAUCUUGAUUUAACAGUUUUUUCAACAUUAGGGGAGAGAAAUAAUAAUUGGAUCAAAUAAUUACUUGAAAUGGAUUACUGUUAUUUUUAUCAUCAUAGAAAGUAAUUUAAACCAGAAGUUCAAGAAGAUAAUUCAUUUUAUUACAACUUAAUUGUCAAAUGCAUUUACUGACUUGAUGAAAAUAAUCAAGUGUUAUAUAUCAACUAAUGUUUUGAUUUGAGUUGAAGUCCAGUAGGACAACUUGUUAGAGUAAUUGAAGGUAAUGCAUGCUCAAAACAUGGUAGUUCAAUUGGUUUCAAAUAUGAAAAUUCUUAUAAUAAAAAUAAAUAAAUCUAGAUGAUCAUAUAGUGAAGAUGGUGCUCCUGAAGUGACUUAAGACAUAACUAAUUAUUAGAACUCUAGAAGAGAUUCAAGUACCUAAAAUUGAAGAUGAAAAUAGUGAAAAUAAUGAAAUUUUAAUAAGUUAUGUCAAAACGAUAAAAUAUGGAACCGUGAAAAAUGAAAAGUUGUUAAUAACGUUUUUUGCAAUCUUGAAAUAAUGAGAGAUAAAUGGGAUUUUGAAUAAAUUUGUCAAGAAAUACAAGAUAUGAAAUAUAUUGGUCAAAAUGAAAAAAACACAAUUAAAGUAGAAUUAAAUUCGUGAAGUUUCUGGACCGGUAGUCCAAAUGUCUAAAUGUAUAAAGUUAGUGGAGUACAAAUGAAUAGUUUUGUGAAAAUAAAAUAAGAAAAUGAAGUUUUUUUUUAAAGUCCUAGCAAUGAUUAUGAAAAUAUAUUCUUUUGUUGUGGAUGUAGUAACCUUUAAAUAUAUCAUUAGUUUGGCAGUUUAUAAAAUUUUUAGCAUGUGUCUUAUGAUUGUUGUUAUAAUAUUUAUAUGAAUCACUAUAUAGAGGAAGUUUAUAUUAAAAUCCUUUAAGGAUUUAGAAUGUUGGAAGCAUAUAUAAAUUCUUGAGAAAUUGUUCAAUACAAUUUUGUAAAUACUUAUAUGAAUUGAUUUGAACAUGUAUAUUAGUAUAGAUAAUUAUGAUAAAAGUUUUGCUAUGAUUAUUGUCAAGAAGAAAUUAAAAUAUAUUUUCUCAAAAUUUUUUCCCACUCAUGAGAUUCAGAAUAAUGAUGAUAUAAAUAUUUUGCAAAAUCGUUUAAGUAAUUUUUGAAAAGCUAGGUAAAAUUUAAACAUUCUACUUUUUUUUUCAUUUUCUUUUUUUUACAAAAUUAAUAAAUAAAAAUACUUUCUCUUUUACCCACUCAAUUUCUUAACAAAAAUGAUAUAGUAACAUUUUAUAAUAAAUAAAUGAUUACCCAACAUUCUACAUCCAUAACAGAAUUUAACCCCAUUAAUGUCGAAAUAUAGCUUAAAAGAAAAUAUAUUCCUAGAAAUAACUUCUCCUCAAACCCAUGAAUCAUGAUGGUAACUUUUCUUUUUUCUGGUUAAUAGAACCCAUGUUGGUAUUUAAUUUUAGAUUUUGUUAUAUUCAAAUAAAAGUUGCCCAGUUGAAUGAAUUUUAUCAAAGACUUUCGUAUUUUUUUUUAAAUAAAAAGAAUAUCAUGAAUUUAAAGUGAACGUAAAUUAAGGAGAAAAUUUUGGACUUUGGAGAGGAUUUACACUGUAAAAACAAGCGUCCCUCGCACUCUUCUUCUCUCUCUGACUUUGUUGUAAGCAAUUCUGUAGCACUUUUGUCGUUUGAUUAUAUAUCCCAUAGUCGAAGCUGUCGUUUUAUGAUCAGACUCCGCCAUUGACGACUCAAAAAAGAAGUAUCCUUUCUUGAUGAUCCAACUGGUAAAACAACGAGAAAAAGUUAAACCCUUCCUUUUUUACCUUCUUUUCAUCGGAACUCUCAGUUGUCUUUUUUCCUUGCAAAAUUUCUUCCUUUUUUUUUAAAAAAAAUUGUUACUAUUUCCCUAGUGCUGAAUCUUAUCUUUCUUUGCAUUUUUCUAAAUUUUCUUUCUUUUUUCUCGUAUUGCCAUCUAAUAGUUACCUCGAUUUUGUGUUGCUCUCUUUGGCAAUGCUCACCAUUUUCCUGCUAGAUCAACUUUUCACCAUAAUUUGUUGGCUGAUUUUAAGAAGUUCAGUUACAAAAUUCCUUUUUUCUGACUCAAAUGUCUUCAUUUAACUUAACUAGAUAUAAACCUCAUAAUUCAUCUGUGUUCUGUUCGUAUAUUUAAUAUAUAUUUUUUAUAAAUUGUGGGAUGUUAACAAUUCGAACCAUAUAGAUUUUUGUUCAUGUAUCGUGUUGUGUUUCUAGUUUCUUUCUAAAUUAUGUUGUGUUAGACAGAAAAGAGUGGUGGCAUUGACAGAGUAGUUCGGUGCUUCAGUUUGAAUUACAUUUCAUGGCUUAGGUUUUGGAACCCUUUUUCUUUUUUGUUAUGUGUAUAUUGCAUGAUUUGUGCUCAUUUUCCAGUCUUUUCCGUUUUGCAGGAUGAUCGAGCCUUGCGAUAUAUGCGGUGAUAUAGGCUUUGUAGAGGAUAUCGUAACUUGCUUUGAGUGCAAAUUUGCAAGGGAACACGGGUGCGGUUAUUCUUACCUCUUGCCUUACGUUUGGUUUCACUUGAACUGCUCGCCUUUUUGUUUUAAAUUCUGCUUUUUGAUUACCAUGUUUAUCGUUAAAUUUUACGAACACGGUUAUUUUGGAAACCUCAGUUUAGGUCCCCGAGAUUGAUCACUAACAUUGAAGUAUACCCUGUUUUCUCGUCCCCCCCCCCUCCCCCCUGCUUUCAGCUAUUGCAUGCGCGAAGUUCUCUUGACUAUCCCCGAAAUUUGGUUCUGUGAAGAGUGUAGGUUAAGCAAGGCCAUACUUCCCGAGUCUGUUACAGAGGAAGAUGUUCCUAUGUCUUCCACUUCAAUUACUUCUGAAAGUGUCUGUACCAGCCCGCUUUCGCACAAACCAGUUGAUCAAGAAAAUGAAAAGGCUUCAAAAUCAAACACCUCUGAGACUUUGAAUCCAGAAGCGUUACUUGAGAAUCAAAAGAUAUUAGGUUCUGCUUGUAAGCAAGGGGCUGCUACAGUUGGGAAUGUGAAGAAGUCAUCAGUUUCAACAAAAUCUGAACAUUUAGUGAGAAAUUUGGUAUCAGGUCUUGAUCAUUUGAGUACCAUGGAAACUGCAUCGAAGAGCAGUCCAACAAGGUUGAAAGUUGCUUCUGCAAAGGCAUCCAUAAAGAAAUUUAAAGCAAGUCAUGAUCAUAGAAAAGUACGACAUAGCGGUUCAAAGGUCUGCUCGACGACCCCACAGAAAGCAAUCCAAACAUCAAAAACUUUAAAAGGUGAGAAAGCGCUUUGCAUGCAUUUGUUGAUGAUUGAAGCAUUUAUUGAAACUGACAAUUGAAUCUGCAUAUUCAUAUUUAGUUCCUAUGCAUUAUUUAUAUUCAAACCUUGAUUUUCGUUUGAUCAUAUUGCCUAUAAUACAUUAUAUCACUUAUGGUUCUUAGUCAAUGAAAAGAUGCAGUUUGUUCUAAAUUGAAUCAAUUCAUGAACGGUGCUUCCUUUAAUUUCGUGUGCGUUAAUAGAUAUCUUAUAUACCUAAUAGUCUAAUGUGGCUACUCUUAUGAUUUCUGUUUUGGAUGAAGAAACUUCUGCUACAUAUGAAAAAGAGACACAUGAUACUAAUGUGCUCAGUGAAAAGAUCGAAACCUCACUUUCACAACAAAGGGAUGGUGAGGAUGUCUCUCCUGAGGGAUCAGCUAGCUUACCUGUAAAUACGAUAGCGAGCACUUUAACCAAGUCAGAUCUAGAAAAGAUAGCUAUGGAGUAUCACAUAGACACUAAUAGGUACCAUCUUUCUCUUCCUAAAUCAUCCGAGAGAGCAAAUUCGUAUUUCCCAUGUAAACACACAUUUUGCAUCUAUGCUGAUGCCUUUAAGGCCGGGCUUCGUCUUCCUCUUCAUCCUCUAAUUUCGGAGAUCCUCAGUGAGUUCAGUGUUGCUCCUACUCAGAUUCCUCCAAACUCGUGGAGGGUACUGAUUUGUUUUAUUUCUUUCUGUUAUUCUCAAAAAAUAACUCCUACGGUGAACCUCUUUCGUGCAAUCUGCUCUCUCAAAGAUCACUCUGGGGAGAGCAACAAGGGGUGGUGGUUCUUUAGUGCUCGGAUUGGAUUCAAGCUGUUUGAGGGUUUUCCGAGCUCCAUCAAGGGAUGGAGGCAUAGGUUUUUUAUAAUUCGAACAUCUGAGAGAGACACAUUAGGCCUUAACACGAAGUGGGGCCCUCCCAAUAGUGCGGCAAAUCAGUUGCCAACUCUUUCAGCUAUCGAGGUCAAAUCACUGGAUAACCUUGUAGCUGCAGCGACCAACAACCCACCUGACAUUAGAGUUUUGUUAUCGGAAGAGGCCUUGAUUCAAGCUGGAAUCAGUUCAACAAUACUAAAACCGAAGGGGUCCAAUGGUGGUAUGGUCGAUAUACUCAACUCCAUUAUUUUCCUUAAUGUUUUUAUUUGAGUUCAUGCUCUUGUUUUCUUUUGAUUUAGAGAUAAAGCAGCGUCAUAGCUUGUCUCAAUCCGGUCUAGUGAGGGCCUUACAGAGAAAAAGAGCUGCCACAGAGUCUGGGAAAAGCGCUUUGUCUAAUCUUCCUUGUCAAGAGCCAAUCUUAAUAUAUGUCGAUCAGGAGGAUCUGCCUGAAAGCAAGAGGUCAAAGGAAUCUCUGCAACCUAUGGAACAAACCGAUUUAUUGCAACCUAAAGAGCUAACGAACCGGUCACAAGAGAUUUCCCCUCCUGUGACCUCUCCUGCUCAAGAUAUGCCUCAUGAAGGCCUUCCUCUACAAGCUUCCCCAGAGUCUAAUAUCCGGCACAUUGCAGGAGUGUCAGUUCCUGCAGUUAGCUCGGUUUACUUCAAUACUGCAACAGACAACCUCCCCCCUUCAAAUGCUGAAGUGAGGCAGACAGGAUCCGUGGAGUACACUAUGGAGCAAUCAGUUUUCACUCAUCCUGCUCUUGCAAGGACGCUGAUCAGCCAAAUGGUUCUUCCGCACGACUGUGAUUCGGUGGCUCAGAAGGAUACUUUGGUCAUGGCUCAGGAGCUUAUGUGCCUAGCAAUGGAGGUAAGUCUUGUUCUUCCCAUUUUUAGUAGACGAAGCAAUAUUAAACACGGCAAGGAAGUGAUAAAUAAAACACGAAAUGGCAUGAAAAAACUAAUAUGAACAUGACAUGAAUACACAAUUGCUUCAAAAUCUAGGUAAUAUGAAUUAUUAGCAUAUCAAAAUUUAUAUUUAUAUAACAGUGCGAUUAUGACACAACAAAAUACAUGAAUUGGCGGGGUUUAAUUUUGGAUGCUUGGUUGCUGAUGGGCAGGACGCGACCUGGAAAAUGGCAGUGUCUGAAAAGUUGAUCAAGAUGCAACAUGAGGUCAACAUGUUGAAGGAAGAAAGGAAUGCAUUAAGAGCAGAGCUUGAAUCGCAGAAGAUGGCGGUGACUGAGUGUGAGUCGACAAGGAAAACGACACUGGAGCUCCAAAGGUUGGAGGAGGAGGUUGAACGGCUCGAGAUCAGGUUAAAGGAGACUGAGGAAAAAGCCUGGACAUGGGAGGAUCAGUUCAUUAAGCUAGAGAGGAGGUUGAAACAGGCUGAGGACCGGGCAGCAUCAGCUGAAAGAAAAGUUGUUGUGGCCGACGAAAAAUGGCGGCAGUCUGAAAUGACAAAGUCGAGGGUUGCUGAGGAGACACUUAAGAAUUUCAAGGCUUCCGACGAAUUCCGGCAUGAAGUUGAGGAUUAUCACGCUGAAGCCUACGGCAUGGGGUUAAAUGUCGCCAUCGAGAAGAUCAAGAGGCAAUUUCCAAAUCUAGAUCUAUCGAUUAUCAAUUUUUAUUCCGAGGAUUAAUGAGGAGCCUAUUGAGCUGUGACAGAUUUUCCAGGUUAAUCAUCGUAAACGUACCCCCUAGUCUCGAUCUGUUUGGGGCCAUUUAUUAGAAAUCUACUUAAUUUGUAACUAAGGAAACCUUUAGCAAUGAAGAACUUUAUGACCCAUUUAGUUCAUCCUAAUAAAAUAUAGGAUUGUAAUGGAGUAGUCAUUAUUUGAUAAUGGAAUAUAAUGGAAUUAAAUAGACAUAACAGGUUGAAAUUAAUAGAUAUGUAAUAGCAAAUAAAAACCAACUCUGAAUGUCGAAAUGCCCUUUAAUAAAUUAAAUUAAAUUUUUAUUUUUUAUAAAAGUAUUAAAAAAUCAAAAGUUUUAAAUAUUAAAAUGAUAAUUUUAUCCUUAGAUUAAAUUUAAUUAAUAAGAUAUAAUAUAAAAUAUUUACAUAAAAAUUAAAACAUUAUUAUAUAAAUUAUUCUUGUGUUUAUUUUAUCCUCACCCCUCUCAUUUAAUCACUUUAUAAUUUGUUUUUAAAAGGGAAUAAGAAACACCGGUUGUAUGCACUGAAGGACAAGCUUCAUCAACACAACAAAUGUUUUAGCCUCAACAUCAAUAGAACAUUAUGACAUGUUGACAAUUGGCUCUGUCAUAACUCAAGCACAACAUAUCAAGAAUGAUUGUAAGCACUUAAUACAAAAAAUAAAUCAGCCCCGGAUGGUCCAAAAAGGAGGGCAUAAAUUGGCAAAAGAACCGAGCCUUCACUAAACUAAAGAGGACGUCGACAAAAUCAACCCUAAAAUCACUCACAAAAGCAAGACUAAAAAGCGUACUACAAGAGUAGACAAAAACUUCUAAAAGUGAAGACUUAUUAAAUAAUGGAAAAACAAAAGAAAAAAAAUAUAAAACUUAGAUAACACGAGUACAAACCGGCUCAUAAAAUCAUUUAGUAUUCUAAAGUACUCUCAAAACAGAAAUAGAUUAAGAAGUCAAUACGAGUACAAACCGGCUCAUAAAAUCAUUUAUUAUUCUGAAAUACUCUCAAAACAGAAAUAGAUUAAGAAGUUAAUAAAGAGCUACCCACUUUCUAAAAGAAAUUGCCGGUGGUUGAUAGUGUUUCAACGAUAAUAGGCACCGCCAUCUGUCCGUUACAACUUAUAAAGAUAACAAAGAUACCCAUCUAAUAGAUCUAUAAACUAAAAAUAGAGAAAGCGCAUAGAGUGAAUGUGAAGGCUAACACCGCUAUUGGACAAAAGCAAAAAGAUAAGAAACAAACAACUUGAUUUAAUCACUUUAUAAUUAAUUUACUAUUAUUUAUUGUUUAAUCUAUAUUAAAAAUAAUACAAUAUAUAAAAUUUUUGUAUAGAGUAUAAAAGAAUCAUUUAAUGGGUAAAUCCAUACCCAUUUCUUCUCUUCUUCAAUUUACUCUCUCCCUUAACCCCUCUCCCCUCUCUCGUAACAAUAUCAUAAAUUUUGAGAAACCCAAAUCAAAGUUAUCAAAUAUUUAAACAUAUUUUCCAAUCUUUAAGAUUAGGAUUUGAAACUCAACUUUCUACAACCAAAAAGCAAUCUUGAUGUCUGCAAAUUUUUUUCUCCCCAAUUUGGUUCAACGAAAUGAGUUGAAGCAAAAAGAAGAAUGAAACUAAAACUUCUCCAAAAAUAGUGAAAGAAAAGUGAUUCAACUUGUAAAUUCAUUAUUUUUUGAAGGGAACGUUGGGAAGAAAUAUUUUUAAUCUAUUCAUGGUUUUACCUAAUAACCAAUUUAGCAUCUUUUCUCCUGAAUGGCCAUUCAGCAACUUUUCAGAAUAAUUUUGAAAUAAUUUAUUCAACGUUUUUAACAUUCGUUGAACUAAACAUAUGUUUUACUGUUUAAUUUUGAACCGUCCCAUGAUAAUAAUACUAUUACAUUAAACCAAACAUACUCUUACCACAAAUCCAUGUUACAUGUUCUUAUCUUACUGUGUUCAAUAUUUCAGUGUUUUUAGAGUUUCUACAGCAUAUUAUGAAACUUAAAAUUCAAGUCGAAAGCACUCUUAGGUCCAUGCAACUGAGUAGUGUUAGGCUCACGACUCACGAGUUCUAUGUCCCUUGAAGUUGGAUGUGUCGGCUCGAAAUGAGCAUUUAUUAUUAUUAUUAUUAUUAUUAUUCCUAUAGUUUUUUUUUUUUAGAAAAAAUUACAACUCAAAAAUUAAACAUUAAAUAAACUUGAAACAUUAUCCUGGUCAAUCAACCGCAAUCCUGGUUUCCUAUCUAUUUUGAUCUUAACUAUUUUAUCUGCAAUUUCAUUCUUUUUUCUUGGGAUAUGUUGAAGAUUACAGUGACUUAGUAACUUUAAACUCAAAAAAAUUCUCGUAAUUAAGGCAAAAUUAAAACCUUCUCGAAUUUCUUCAUGAAUAAUGUUAACCGCUUCAAAAUUAUCUGUCUGAAUAUGUGUUGAAAUAUCAUAGGUUAUUCCCUUAACUUUGCAUUUAUUUUCUAACACAAAUGUACACCUAGUUGACGAUGUAAUUCAUGUUCAAUGAUUAAGAAAUUGAAUUAAACUGUUGUUGCUGAUUCUAUCCAAUAUUAAUAGUUUGAUUAUCCAAUAAAUAUAUAAAAUUGAAUAAUUAGCAAAGUCAUAAAGCAAAAUAAAUUGAUUAUUAAAAUUCAUUUUAUUAGUAUUUAAAUUUAGCCUCUAAAAUUUAUGAUAAAACAGCAUGGUACCAUGGAAAGUAAUCACUCCUAAGAAUUUAAUUGGUGGAACGUUGGAUAUAUAUUAGAAAUGUAACUCUUCCUGUUUGGUUGAUGAAAAGUUGAAAUAUGACAUGUGAUUCCAAUAUUUGAUAAAAAAAUAAUUUAUUUUCUUUUAGGCAAGCAAAAAAAAUGAUUUCUUUGAUAAUUAAUUAGAAUUAUACCGUAAAAAUAAUCACAUUCCCAAAAGUCACAUUUCAUUAAAAUUUUACCAUAAAAAUUGUACCAAACACAAAUGCAUAUUUCUAUUUAAUAGUUAAUAUAUAUAAUAUCUAAUUAUAUACAAUAUCAAUACAUAAUUAUAUUAUGAAGUAUAUGUUAGAUUAAGUUAACAAAGGAAAAGUAUAAUUAGUAUUGGCACAUUUUAAGAAAGGACUAAAUUGGAAAGAAAUUAAAUUAAAUAUAUGAUAAAUAAAAUUAUGAUGCAAAAAAUAUGUGGUUGCAAUGUAUGCAGACUUCGAAGCUAAAAAUGAUUAGUAACCCUGUCCAAGUUCCAAAACUAUGAAUGAGGUAUUUAUACAUUUUUUUUUAAAUCAUAAAAUUACUUUAAAAUAUUUUGGAAAAAGAACCUAAGAUUCUUUAAUUGAAAUUUUAAUAAAAGAAUAUAAAAUUUUUAGAAUGAGAUUUGAUAUCAUAUGGAAUCUCGAUAAAAUCAGAAAAGAAAGCAAGAGUUAGAGACUGUAACUAAAAAUUUAAUGUGACAUUCUUUAUUCGUAUUUGUUAAAAAUCGGAUAUGGAGUGUUACAUUAGACAUAAAUUUUAGGUUGAAUUACACAUUUAAUCCCUAUAUUUUUUUCUUUUAAAGCAAUUUAAUUCUUUUUCUUUUCUUUUCUUUUAUUUUAACACUCACUUUCAUUUCUUUUUUUUUCCUUUUUUUUUCUUAAAUUUUCUCUUUUCUUUUUCAUUACAAAAUAUUUAUAAAAUAAAGGAGAUCAACUUAAUUUGUUGAUUGAUAUUAUUAUAUUUUAAACUAGGCAUGAAUUAUAGUAAACUACUCAAGCCCAAUCAAUAAAAUUAAACCUAAAUACAAUUUCUAAAAAUUGGAAUCCCUAACAAAAUUUAAUUCAUCUAAAAGAUAAAUAUGAAACCUUAAAAAUAAUAUUGUUAGAAGAAAUUAUCACGAAUCCCAAAUAUAAAUUAUAAAAUAAACAUGAAAAAGUUAGAAUAAACUCAUAUUAUACGCAAAAAAAUAUAUUGUUCUCUUACCUUUUAUCAAUUCCCAUUACUUGGUUUUUUUGUUGGGGUUUCACUUUUCUCUGAAGCCUCAUCUCUUACAAAUUAACUCAACCAUUGGCUAUGAAUUUUUUGUUCAUUGGUGAUGAGCAAAACCGACCGUGUUAGGUUUAGUGGUUUAAUUGGUUAGAAAACGUGUUUGAAAAAUGUAGCAAAAAAUAAGUUUAAGGAAAAAAUUAGAGUUUUAAAUUUUUUUUCUAAAAAUAAGAAUUUGGUUGUGAUAUUUAAAAUAAUAAACACUUAAUUAAAAUUAUAUUUUUUCAAUUCGUUUAAGAUUAACGCUUCUAUCCUUAAGUUCACCUCUGCCGAGUGUGGGCUCGCUUCGAAUCAGAAAAAUUUUUCACAAAAUUGCUAGUGAGGUAAUUUCACAAAUUUUCUAACUUCCAGGCCAAGUUAUAAAUAAAAUAUAUCUAUAAAAAUCUUUUAAAAUAAUUUUUUUUAGAGAAUUUUCUCUCUACAACUUUCUCUUGAAUUUAAGUCUAUGAAAAAUAAUUACCGAAAACUCUCUUAAUAUAGGGGGAGUUUAGAGAGUUCAAUUAGGAUCAAACUUAAUUACUUUAAUAUUAAUUUAAUAUAAUAUUUAUCUUGAUAAGUAUUAGAUUAAAUUUAAUAUUAAAAUAAUAAUUUUAAUAUCAAAUUAAUAAAAUACUAUCAAGAUAAGUAUUAUAUUAAUUUAAUAUUAAAUUUAUUAAAAUAUUAUUAUUUUUGUAAUAGUUAAUCUGAAAUCAAAUUAUUCGGUAGAGCCUCAAUAGAAGUAUAAUUCUUCUGCUACUCAACCGUCGGAGAACCACUAUCGCCAACUACUGAAAUAUCAUCGUUGUAGCCGUUGGCACCGUUGUGCCUGAUGUUGUCAUCGCAGGUGCAACACCCUCAUGACACCCCGAGUCAGUUUGGAUUUUGUUGGUUUGAUUUGAGCCAAUGACGGUUCGAUCGGUCCGGUUCAGCCACUGGUUGAACCACCUGCCCAGUUCACAUACAUUGAGCUUGGUUCGACCAAUUUUGGGUUUCGAUCUCAAUUUUUUAUUCUCGAUUCCAAUUUCGAUCUUAAGUCUAAUUUUAAAGUUCAAUUAUCCAUUGGGCCAAUUGUUUGACUUAGAAAAUUAAUUUUCAAAAUAUUAUAUUUAUUUUAAUUAAUUUGAUUAAUUUAAUUUUUAUUGAUCAAAAUUAAUUUUCCCAAAAAUCACUAAAAGUUUAUAAAAUUGAUUUUUCAAGAUAAUUCUUUAAUCAAAAUUUCUAGUUAAACAAUUUUCAUGACCAACCAAUUUAAUUUCAUAUAAAUUAAAUCGACUCAAUUAAAUUAGUUCCAAAUUCAUAUAAUUUUCUUUUGAUUUAAAUUUAGUCUGAUCGAGUUUUUGUUGAGCUAAUGGAGAGACCAAUCAAAUAUAUACAAUUAAGCUCUUGUAAUUGUAAUUAUGUUCAGCAGUAUCGUUUCGAUAAUUCACAAUUUACUUAAUAUGGAGUCAGUCCACAAAAAGUAUAAUAAUUGAAAACUCCUUAUUGUAUACUUUUAGGAAAGCAAUUCAUCCAAUUGUUUUGUCUAAUGACCUCAUAAUGUGUGUGUCACCCUUAUAUGAUAUUCUUAAUUCAUUUGAGCUAAAUCCGUUCAAUUAGUACAAUCCUAUUUUUUCUCAUUGUCACUAUUGUAUCUUUUUAAUGAUUAAUAUGAUCGCUGUCAACAAAUGAUUAUGAUAAAUUGCUCAUUUGAGAACAAGUGUAAUGGCCUAAAUUCAAGGUUAUCGGAACAAUAGUUUCGUAACCAUAGAUCCGAUUUAAAGAGAAAUUUAUUUUAAUAUUUUUGCUUGAAAAUUUAUAUGAUAGGAAAAUUUUAUCGAUUUAGUGAUUAGUUAGAAAAAAAAAUUAUUGAAGAAAUUGGGUAAAAUAAGGUAUCGGGACCUCUAUCUCGUAAAACCGAGUCAAAAAUAAUUUUAUAAAUAUUUAUGAAAUGUUAUUAAUGUGGUAUUAAAAUUUCGUUAGGAAAUUUUAAUGUUUGGGUAGUCAAUUAAAUGAAAAGGACUGAAUUGUAAUAGGUGUAAAAGUUGCUAGAGUGAUUAAAUAGCUUAUUAGUCUAAAGAUAAAGGAUUUAAAAGGCAAUUAGACCCAAAAGUUAUUUGGGCUAGACGGCAAGGGUAUGAAAUCAGCAGAAAAAUUGAUAAAUUAAGGGUAAAAUUGGAAUAUUGCAAAAUUAACUAAAUAAAACUAGGACUAAAUAGGAAAUAUCUAGAUUUCUCUUCAUUUCUCUUCAAUUCCAGCAGCUAAAAACGCCAUAGGAGGGUUCUCUAAGCUGGUAUUUCAUAAUUUUUGUACCAAGUGAGUUAAUCCUUGCCUUUUUCUUGUAAUUUUUGUGUUUCUAAGACUUUUACAACUAGAUCCUACUAUUAAAUUCAUUAGUUUUUGAUUUCAUGGAUGAAAUUUAAAGUCCCCAUGGUUGAGUGCUGUAAGUUUAUGAUGAAAUAGAAUGAAAUUAAAGCUUUAAUUUGUUUAUGAGAUGAUUUUAUUAGGCAAUUUCAAUGGAAAUUGAUUUUUGGGACCUAAUUGUGAAAAUGUUUGGAAUUAAAGUCUAUUGCUGAAAUUCUGAUUCCUAAAGGUUGUAAACUAGUUUAAGGUGAUAGAAUAAAAUGUUAAUUGAGAAAAAUAAGCUCAAUUGAGAGGCUAAUUGAGUAGGGACGAAAUUAUCAUUUAUUAAAAGCUUAGGGGAAAAAUAGUAAUAAACAGCUUGCACUAAAACAGUUUGGACAGCAGCAGUAGAUUAACUUUGAAAAAUCACCAAAAAUUGUAGGAAUCGAAUUAGAAGAUGAAAAAAAAUAUGGAAUUAAAACUUAUUGAGUCUAGUUUCUCAUAGAAGAAAUAUUGUAAGCAAUGGAUUUGUAGAUUUUGAGAUAUAAUGAAUUUUGUGAGACAAUGUUAGAAUGAAUUCGAGUUUCCCUGUUCUGAAUUUGAAAAAUUAUAAAAAAUUGAAUAAAAAUAAUUAGGGACUUAAAUUUAUAUUUCUAGAAUUCUGAAUGAGUCUAUUUUUAAUAGAAACAAACAAGAACAUCAUUUGAAUUCUGUAUAAAGAGAUAACGUAUUUUUAGUGAAGAAGGGUCAGAACUGUUAGACAAUAGAACAGGGGUGACUUUAAAGAAUAAACUGUACUUAUUGGAUAAACUAAAAAUUCUGAAAUUUUUAUGGUAAAAAUAUAUAUGAGUCUAGUUUUAUGGAAAAUUAACGGAUCUUAAUUUGGAGAUCCGUAGCUCAAGUUAUAAAUAAUUUAGUGACUAUGACUCAAGUAGACAGCUUUGAAUGAACUAUAAAUAAUAGUUGAAUUAUAAAGAAUGUUGCAUAUGAACAUGAAAUGUAUUAAAUUGAUAAUUAAAUUUAUUUAUUUAGAUCCGGAAGAUUCAAAUACGAAGCUAGAUCGAGGAAAGGAAAAAGUUCGGGAUUAGUAGAUUUUUACUGUUUACAAACAAGUAUCAAGGUAAGUUCAUGUAACUUGAAUUAUAUUCUUAAAUGCUUGAGAUUGUAUGUUAUUUAUGUGAAUAUGAUUUGAAUGUUCAUUGUAUGAAAAUUUAUGAAACAUUGAUAUAUUUGAUAAAACGGGAAGAAAUCCCAUUUGAAUGAAAGGAAAAUUCGAUGGAUCUCUGAAAAGGAAUUGACGGUAAAAAGGAUCUAGCCCGGACGGGUGAUCCUAUCCUGAUAUAGCCCUCCCGAAGAAUAUGUGUAAAAUGGAUUUAGCCCGGACGGGUAAUCCGAAUUAGGGUCUGAAUUUAGCCUGGACUGGUAAUUCAGAUCCAAGCUCAUUAGAGUAAUUAUCGUUACAGGGGAUUUAGCCUGGACUGGUAAUCCCGACAAUACUCUAUGAGUUUAUAUUGCAGGGGAUUUAGCCUGGACUGGUAAUCCCGCUGCAAGGUUGAGGUUCGCGGGAGUGUGCUCUCUGAAAUGGAAAUGUGCGCACAUGAAUAUGAAUUGACGGACCCGGAAUUGUACACUAAAAGUGUACCUCUGAAAAUCCAUCGAAAUUCCAAUAAAUUCAACGGGAUAAAUAUGGAAAAAUAACAAGGAAAUGGAAAUCAUGGUAUUGACGAGCUCAUCAAUCAUCGUAUAUAUAUUAUUGAUACAUGGAAAUUAUUGUACUAACUUGAAUGUUGAGUUUGUGCAUGUUAGGGUAAUAAUGUAUUGAAUGGAUAUAUGAAUGUUUAUUAUAUUGUAUUGAAAAUAUUUGGUAAGUAUAACUCUUGUUAUAUGAGCUUACUAAGCACAAAGUGCUUACCCUGUUUCCUUUUUCCCUGUUUUGUAGUGUUAAGAGCUCGGAGGUCGGAUUUGGUCGGAGAUACAUCACACUGUCAACCUCAGGAUUUCGGUAUAUAAAGAAACUUUAUUUUGGAAAUCAAUGGCAUGUAUAAGCUAACAAAGUAAAUGUUAACGUGAAAUGAAUGUAAAGUUAGCCAUUAGUAUGGUUAACAAACCUGGUUAUAGAUAAGUGAUGACGUUAUCUUAUAUAAAUGCAUGAAUCUAUCAUGAAAAUAUGUUGAAUUGAAAAAAAAAUUAAUUCGUAAACUCCGGUAAUGCCUCGUACCUUAUUCCGGCAAUGAAUACGGGUAGGGGUAUUACAUUUAUUGGUAUCAGAGCUACGGUUUAGCCGGUUCUAGGACUGAUGUAGCAAAUACAGGAUUAGCUAUACAUGCCAUUUAAAUUAUUAUUGAUAGUGUGAUAUCUCCUGACCAUUUAAAAUGUGUUUUUCUUAUAGUAAUGUCAUCCGACCGAGCUCAAUCUGAGGAAGCUAGGAGUCAUGCUCCGGCUUCAGUACAAAGAGAAGAAACUAGUAGUAGAAGGCCCGAGACAGAGGGUCGAGGGGAGGAGGCAAAAACAGCCUUCUUUCAAAUGAUGAAUGAAUUGUUUAAUCAAUACUUAAGAACUAACCCUGUAGUGCAGCAAGUUCAAGCUCCCCCUCCUGCUCCUUCACCGGUUCCCGAGAUCCCACAAGGUACAGGUACUGAAUCUGUCAAAAAAAGGGAAAGCUCCAGUAGAUAAAAUUCGAAAAUAUGGGGCCGAAGAAUUUCGAGCAGCAAUUGAUGAUGAUUCCGAACGGGCUGAAUUCUGGUUAGAAAAUACUACUCGGGUUCUGGAAGAAUUAUCUUGUACACCAGAAGAAUGUUUGAAAUGUGCCGUCUCACUGCUAAAAGAUACAGCUUACCAUUGGUGGAAUACUAAAGCUUCAGUUGUUCCGAAAGAAGAAAUUACAUGGGAAUUCUUUCAGACCGAGUUCAGAAAAAAAUAUAUCAGCCCGAGGUUCCUUGACCAGAAAAGAAAAGAAUUUCUUGAGCUAAAACAGGGCAAUAGAUCAGUAUCUGAAUAUGAAAGAGAAUUUGUUUGAUUGAGUAAAUAUGCUCGAGAAUGGGUACAGUCAGAAGUUGAAAUGUGUAAACGAUUCGAAGAAGGGUUGAAUGAAGACAUUAAGUUACUGAUCGGAAUUCUUGAAAUUCGAGAGUUUGCUACAUUGGCAGAGAGAGCUUAUAAAGCAGAAGAAUUGAGCAAAGAAAAGAAACAGGCUGAGAGGGAAGCUCGAAUUUUUAGUAAAAGACCGAUGGGAAAAUCCCAGUUUUCUGCUUCAAAGAAAUUGAAGAAAUAUCAGGAUCGUUCUACUUCAGCCAUUGGGUAUUCGGGCAAAGAACGAGGUUCUCUACGCACUAAUCCAAGGCCUUCUACUCCAUCAGUGACCAAUGUUGGCAGUGUUGGCACUCCUAAACCGAGAUGCCAGUACUGUAAUAAAGCUCAUUUUGGUGAAUGCCGAUUUAAGAGUGGGGCUUGUUACCGAUGUGGUUCUUUUGACCAUUUCCUCAGAGAUUGUCCUAAAAGGGUUGAAAAAGAAGUUGAACAUAUAUCGAAGCCGAGUAAUCUAGUUUCGAGGGGCAGACCACGUUCCAUAUUUAUCAAUCAACACAAUGUCAAUGAGAGGAUAUGUUAACUCUUUAAAUGAGCUAUGAAUUCCAUUAUUACUAGUAAAGUCAUGUCAUACACAAGUCAUGUACCCAACAUACCUGCUAUGCGCUUGAUCAUCUUUUGAGCAUAAGUCACCACUUAUAUCAAAACACAUGAGUUAUAUACGCAUGAUCAGUUACUAACUCAGGAUUUAGAUAAAUCACACCAUGAAUAUGACAAGUGAAUUAAUUCACAAACAGAUUCAAGAUUAAUUCAACUUGGGUUUAAUCCAAUGUAUCAUUCUUCCUAUGAAUAUAUCUAUAUCUCUACCCAUGGAGUCAAAUGUUAUGAUAGCCAAUACUAGCCAACUCCCCAAUUGGAAUUAUAGGCAACAUAAUAAUUCUUUUAAGUAUUUAAAUCAAAUACUCACUUUUAUUCUUUUACGAGAUUAAUGACAUGUUUAAAUUCUUUGCUGAAGUAAGUUGUCUUUCUCGCAAUGUAAACGUUCUUACAAUGCCACUUAUCAUCAGUUUGAACUUAGAUAACCAAUGAACUAAUAUUUAUUUGUCACAAUUAUGCUAUGUGUAAUACCCCCUACCUGUAUUCAUUGUCGGAAUAGGGUACGAGGUAUUACCGGAGUUUACGAAUUUAUUUAUUAUUAUUUUUUUUAGGAAAACUCAAUAUAAUCCCUUUACAGAUAUCAAAUCUUCCCUGCAAUAUUAUAUCGAGACCAAUCCAAAUCAACCAAUCCAAUUCAACAUAUUUUCAAGGUAAAUUCAUGCAUAUUUAUAAAAUAACGUCAUCACAUACCCAAAAUCAGGUUUGUUAACCAUACCAAUGGCUAACUCUACAUUCAUUUCACAGAAUCAUUUACUUUAUUAGCUUAUACAUGCCAUUGAUUUCCAAAAUAAAGUUUCUUUAUAUACCGAAGUCCUGAGGUUGAUAGUGUGAUGUGUCUCCAACCAAAUCUGACCUCCGAGCUCUUAACACUACAAAACAGGGAAAAAAGAAAUGGGGUAAGCACUUUGUGCUUAGCAAGCUCAUGUAACAAGAAUUAUACUUACCUAAUAUUUUCAAUACAAUACAAUAAACAUUCCUAUAUCCAUUCAAUGCAUUAUUACCCUAAUAUGCACAAACUCAACAUUCAAGUUAGUACAAUAAUUUCCAUGUACCAAUAAUAUAUACUAUGAUUGAUGAUUGAUGUGUUCAUCCAAUACCAUGAUUUCCAUUUCCUUGUUAUUUUUCCAUAUUUAUCCCGUUGAAUUUAUCGGAAUUUCGAUGGAUUUUUAGAGGUACACUUUUAGUGUACAAUUCCGGUUCCGUAAAUUCAUAUUCAUGUGCGCACAUAUCCAUUUCAGAUAGCACACUCCCGCGAACCUCAACCUUGCAGCGGGAUUACCAGUCCAGGCUAAAUCCCCUGCAAUAUAAACUCAUAGAGUAUUGUCGGGAUUACCAGUCCAGGCUAAAUCCCCUGUAACGACAAUUACUCUAAUGAGCUUGGAUUUGAAUUACCAGUCCAGGCUAAAUUCAGACCCUAAUUCGGAUUACCCGUCCGGGCUAAAUCCAUUUUACACAUAUUCUUCGGGAGGGCUACAUCAAGAUAGGAUCACCCGUCCGGGCUAGAUCCUUUUUACCGUCAAUUCCUUUUUAGAAAUCCAUCGAAUUUUCCUUUCAUUCAACCGGGAUUUCUUCCCAUUUUAUCAAAUAUAUCAAUGUUUCAUAAAGUUCCAUAUAAUGAACAUUCAAAUCAUAUUCAUAUCAAAAACAUACAAUCUCAAGCAUUUAAGAAUAUAAUUCAAGUUACACGAACUUACCUUGAUACUUGUUUGUAAACAAAAAAAAUCUACUAAUCCCGAACUUUUUCCUUUCCUCGAUCUAGCUUCGUAUUUGAAUCUUCUGGAUCUAAAUAAAUAAAUUUAAUUAUCAAUUUAAUACAUUUCAUGUUCAUAUGCAACAUUCUCUAUAAUUCAACUAUUAUAAAUAGUUCAUUCAAAGCUGUCUACUUGAGUCAUAGUCAUUAAAUUAUUUUUAUCUUGAGAUACAGAACACCAAAUUAGGAUCCGAUAAUUUUUCCUGAAACUAGACUCACAUAUGUUGUUACCAUAAAAUUUUAAGAAUUUUUGGUUUAUCCAAUCAGUACAGUUUAUUCUUUAAAGUCACUCUUGUUCUGCUGUUGACAGUUCUGACACUUCUUCACUAAAAAUUAAUUAUCUCUUCAUAAAGAAUUCAAAUGAUGUUCUCGUUUGUUUCUAUUAAAAAUAUACUCAUUAAGGAUUCUAUAAAUAUAAAUUUAAGCCCCUAAUUGUUUUUCUUAAAUUUUUUAUGAUUUUUCAAAUUCAGAAUAGGGGAAUCCGAAUUCAUUCUGACCUUGUCUCAGAAAAUUCAUUAUAUCUCAAAAUUUACAAAUCCAUUGCUUACACUAUUUCUUCUAUGAGAAACUAGACUCAAUAAGCUUUAAUACCUUAUUUUUUUCAUCUUCUAAUUAGAUUUCUACAAUUUAUGGUGAUUUUUCAAAGUUAGUCUACUGCUGCAGUCCAAACUGUUUUUGUGCAAGCUGUUUAUUACCAUUUUUCCCCUAAGCUUUUAAUAAAUGAUAAUUUCGUCCCUACUCAAUUAGCCUCUCAAUUGAACUGAUUUUCCUCAAUUAAUAUUUUAUUCUAUCACCUUAAACUAGUUUAAAACCUUUAGGAAUCAUAAUUUCAGCAGUAGACUUUAAUUCCAAGCAUUUUCACAAUUAGGUCCUAAAAAUCAAUUUCUAUUGAAAUUACCUAAUAAAAUCAUAUCAUAAAACAAAUUAAAGCUUUAAUUUCAUUCUAUUUCAUCAUAAACUUACAGCACUCAACCAUGGUGACUUUCAAUUUCAUCCAUGAAAUCAAAAACUAAUGAAUUUAAUAGUAGGACCUAGUUGUAAAAGUCUUAGAAACACAAAAAUUGCAAGAAAAAGGCAAGGAUUAACUUACUUGGUGCAAAAAUUAUGAAAUACCAGCUUAUAAAACCCUCAUAUGGCGUUUUUAGCUGCUGUAAUUGAAGAGAAAUGAAGAUAAAUCUAAAUAUUUCCUAUUUAGUCCUAGCUUUAUUUAGUGAAUUUUGCAAUAUUCCGAUUUUACCCUUAAUUUAUCAAUUUUUCUGCUGAUUUCAUACCCUUACAGUCCAGCCCAAAUAACUUUUGGGUAUAAUUUCCUUUUAAAUCCUUUCUCAUUAGACUCUUAAGCUAUUUAAUCAUUCUAGCAACUUUUACACCUAUUACAAUUUAGUCCUUUUCAUUUAAUGGACUACCCAAACAUUAAAAUUUCCUAACGAAAUUUUAAUACCACACUAAUAACAUUUCAUAAAUAUUUAUAAAAUUAUUUUCGACUCGGUUUUACAAGAUAGAGGUCCUGAUAUCUUGUUUUUACCCAAUUUCUUCAAUAAUUUCUUUUUCUAACUAACCACUAAAUCGGUAAAAUUUUUCUAUCAAUAUUUUCAUAUGAUUUUCCUAUCAUAUCAAUUUUCAUGUAAAAAUAUUGAAAUAAAUUUCUCUUUAAAUCAGAUUUGUGGUUACGAAACCAUUGUUUCGAUAACCUUGAAUUUAGGCCAUUACAACUCUCCCCCCUUUUAGGAUUUUCGUCCUCGAAAAUCUUACCAGUAAAGAGAUUUGGGUAUUGUUUCCUUAUUGCCUCCUCUGGUUCCCAUGUCACUUCCUCAAUCCCAUGCUUUUGCCACAAUACUUUCACCAAAUUUAUAUUUUUAUUUCAAAGCUAUUUUGUCUCCCGUGCCAAUAUCUUGACCGGUUCUUCACUGUAAGUCAUAUCCGAUUGAAUCUCUACUUCUGUUGGAGAAAUAACAUGUGAAUGAUCUGAUUGAUAUCGUCGUAACAUAGAUACAUGAAAAACAUUAUGGAUUCUAUCAAGUUCCGGUGGUAAUGCCAAUCGAUAAGCGACCGGUCCAAUUCUUUCUAUGAUUUCAUAACGUCCGAUAAAUCUUGGACUCAGUUUACCCUUUCGACCGAAUCGGAGGACUUUCUUCCAAGGAGACACUUUCAGGAAUACCUUGUCACCGACUUGAAAUUCAAUCUCUUUUUGUUUAAGGUCGGCAUAUGAUUUUUGACGAUCGAAAGCUGCUUUUAGACUAUCCCGAAUAACCUUUACUUUUUCUUCU